AAGCAGUGAUGUGGAGCUAAACUGAAAAAAGUAAGUCUCAGUUCGGAUUGAAGGCUGAAAUUCGCCCUCAUGAAGCCGGAAUUGCUAGUAAUGGCAGGUCAGCAUACUGCCGUGAAUACGUUCCCGGGCCUUGUACACACCGCCCGUCACACCAUGAGAGUUGGGAAUACCCGAAGCCUGUGAGCUAACUAUACGAGGCAGCAGUCGAAGGUAGAAUCAAUGAUUGGGGUGAAGUCGUAACAAGGUACC
rnacentral:rRNA from 1 species